rnacentral:rRNA from 1 species
AUUUAACGCUGGCGGCAAGCCUAACACAUGCAAGUCGAACGAGUGGCGGACGGGUGAGUCCUGUCUGGGAAACUGCCUGAUGGAGGGGGAUAACUACUGGAAACGGUAUCUAAUACCGCAUACCAUCGGAUGUUCCCAGAUGUGCUUAGCGAGUGGGGGGGGUAAAGGCUCACCUAGGCGACGAUCCCUAGCUGGUCUUAGAGGAUGACCAGCCACACUGGAACUGCGACACGGUCCAGACUCCUACGGGAGGCAGCAGUGGGGAAUAUUGCACAAUGGGCGCAAGCCUGAUGCAGCCAUGCCGCGUGUAUGAAGAAGGCCUUCGGGUUGUAAAGUACUUGCAGCGGGGAGGCGUUACCCGCAGAAGAAGCACCGGCUAACUCCGUGCCAGCAGCCGCGGUAAUAC